AGUCCGGUUGAUGGCACCAAGGUCGGAUAUUGUUUCCGUGAACGCGUUCGCAUGGUCAUCAGCGUUAGCGGCCGCCGUCUUUGACGACACCUUCGUUGCUGCUGCUGCUGCUGCUCUAACAUCGCACUCCUGACGUACCGUUGGCGCGUUUGUCUUAUCGGUCGGCCGCCGCCUCAGUGUUGAUUCGCUUAUCGCCGGCCGGUACGUUCACUUUGAAAAAAUUAGAGUGCUCAGAGCGGGCUGUUCAAGCUUGCAUACGAUAAGCAUGGAAUGAUGGAAGAGGGCCUCGUCUACGUCUGUCGGUCUCCGUCUACGGCGAGGCAAUGAUCGAAGGGAGCGGUCGGGGCCACUCGUAUUGCGACGUUAGAGGUGAAAUUCUUGGAUCGUCGCAAGACGAACUGCAGCGAUGGCGUGUGGCAAGCACGUUUUCCUCGAUCAAGAGCGAAAGUCGGAGGUUCGAAGACGAUCAGAUACCGUCGUAGUUCCGACCGUAAACGAUGCCGACCGGCGAUCCGCCGGCGUUCGCUUCCAUGACCCGGCGGGUAGCCUGCGGGAAACCAGAGUUCGGUUCCGGGGGGAGUAUGGUUGCAAAGCUGAAACUUAAAGGAAUUGACGGAAGGGCACCACCAGGAGUGGAGCCUGCGGCUUAAUUUGACCCAACACGGGAAAACUCACCCGGUCCGGACACCGGUAGGAUUGACAGAUCGAUAGCUCUUUCUCGAUUCGGUGGGUGGUGGUGCAUGGCCGUUCUUAGUUGGUGGAGCGAUCCGUCUGGUUGAUUCCGAUAACGAACGAGACUCCGGCCUGCUAACUAGUGCGCCGAUGUGUGUGUUUAUUCAACGGCGGGCUCGGCGUUCAUCGCAGCGCCCGGGUCCGGGUCGGUUUUCUCACGCACUUCUUAGAGGGACGGGUGGCAGAAAGCCACACGAGGCGGAGCGAUAACAGGUCUGUGAUGCCCUUAGAUGUCCGGGGCCGCACGCGCGCUACACUGGAGGUAUCAGCGGGGACUUCGCCCCGGCCCGAGAGGGUCGGGAAACCUCUUAACCACCUCCCGUGAUAGGGAUCGGGGCCUGUAACCAACCCCGUGAACGAGGAAUUCCCGGUAGGCGCGGGUCAACAGCCCGCGUCGAUCACGUCCCUGCCCUUUGUACACACCGCCCGUCGCUACUACCGAUCGAACGGUCCGGUGAGGUCCUCGGAUCUGGCCGACGACGCCGCCGGGCAGCGUGCACGUGGCGCAGCGGCGGCGGUCUCCGCUGCCGUUUCACGCGCGUGUCGUACUCGCCUCGGCGUUCGAUGCCUGGAGAAG
rnacentral:rRNA from 1 species